UACGUAGGGGGCAAGCGUUGUCCGGAAUCAUUGGGCGUAAAGCGCGUGUAGGCGGCUCGGUAAGUCUGCUCUGAAAGCCCGGGGCUCAACCCUGGGAGGCGGGUGGAUACUGCUGAGCUCGAGUCCGGAAGAGGCGAGUGGAAUUCCUGGUGUAGCGGUGAAAUGCGCAGAUAUCAGGAAGAACACCCGUGGCGAAGGCGGCUCUCUGGGACGGUACUGACGCUGAGACGCGAAAGCGUGGGGAGCGAACAGG
rnacentral:rRNA from 1 species